rnacentral:lncRNA from 1 species
ACCAGUCUAACAGUUCCCCUUCAAAUUUAAACUGAACUUUUCUUCAACAUUUCUGUUUAUUUUUUUUGGACAUUUUUUUCUAGUUUAUCUACAACGUCCUAUAUAUGCAUGAACUAUUUACCACGGGCUGUUCAAUAUCAAACAAAUGGUUUAUGUUGAACCAAUAUACAGUUGCGUUUGGUAGGAUUUAUGAAUUUAAUUUAUCCUUCAGCUAAUGAAAUCAGAUCUGCCAACACUGAGAUUAAAUUAAAUGUUUUGUAUUCAGCUUACAUAGAAUGUUUCAGAUAGCUUCAAUCAUUGUAUAGACUAGUUUAUAUACGGGUAGUCAAAGACACAUUCUCCAUUUAUAAUUUAUAAGGGACUGUCACACAACUGUGUGUUUGGUGUUCUCAAACUAUUGUCAUAGAUAACAAUGGAACUGUUGCUUCAAUUACAAAUGUAUUGUACAAAGACUAAAAUAAUUAAACAUAAGUUAAACUUUUUUCAUCACCAUAAAUGCUGUAAAUUUCUCUAAAUAAUUUUAUCACAAUAUAAAA